rnacentral:rRNA from 1 species
UACGGAGGGUGCAAGCGUUAUCCGGAUUCACUGGGUUUAAAGGGUGCGUAGGCGGGCAGGUAAGUCAGUGGUGAAAUCUUCGAGCUUAACUCGGAAACUGCCUUUGAUACUAUCUGUCUUGAAUAUUGUGGAGGUAAGCGGAAUAUGUCAUGUAGCGGUGAAAUGCUUAGAUAUGACAUAGAACACCUAUUGCGAAGGCAGCUUACUACGCAUAUAUUGACGCUGAGGCACGGAAGCGUGGGGAUCAAACAGG